rnacentral:rRNA from 1 species
CAGCAGCCACGGUAAUACGAAGGGGGCUAGCGUUGUUCGGAUUUACUGGGCGUAAAGGGCGCGUAGGCGGGCUGAUCAGUCAGGGGUGAAAUCCCAAGGCUCAACCUUGGAACUGCCUUUGAUACUGUCGGUCUUGAGUUCGAGAGAGGUAAGUGGAACUGCGAGUGUAGAGGUGAAAUUCGUAGAUAUUCGCAAGAACACCAGUGGCGAAGGCGGCUUACUGGCUCGAAACUGACGCUGAGGCGCGAAAGCGUGGGAGCAAACAGGAUUAGAUACCCCAGUAGUCCCUGUCUCUUAUACA